GACAGAGGUGCCAAGCGUUAGGCGGAAUCACUGGGCUUAAAGCGUGUGUAGGCGGGCGAUCAAGUACCUUGUGAAAUCCCACGGCUCAACCGUGGAACUGCUGGGUAUACUGGUUGUCUUGAGCCAGCUAGGGGCGAGCGGAACAGACGGUGUAGCGGUGGAAUGCGUAGAGAUCCGGAAGAACACCGGUGGCGAAGGCGGCCCGCUGGGCUGUUGCUGACGCUGAGGCGCGACAGCGUGGGGAGCAAACAGG
rnacentral:rRNA from 1 species